AUAUUAUAGGUUUAUUAUUCCGUUCUAAUACCAUAAAGUCAUGCGAUUUAAAUAUUUGCUGGGCUUCAUGCAAUCAUGACUUUUGCACAGUAACUAUUUGGACGCUACAAUGUAUUCACUAAAUAAAUAUCGUAGAUUUCAUUUAUUCAACAUAAUAUAACAGUUUAUGCGAUUAAAACACCGAAAAUAAAUUUAAUGUUAGUCGAUUAUUUCUGUAUUAUUUACGUUACUAUAAAAUAGAGUUGAUGACGUACUGAAAAAUAACGCGUUGUAAUAAAAUAUUAUAAAUUAAUGUCUGUGAUUUUUUUUUAAG